rnacentral:sRNA from 1 species
UGAAACAGGGAUUGGUCGGCCAGCAGU